rnacentral:rRNA from 2 species
AGAGUUUGAUCAUGGCUCAGAAUGAACGCUGGCGGCGUGCUUAACACAUGCAAGUCGAACGGUAACAGAAGGAGCUUGCUCCUUGCUGACGAGUGGCGCACGGGUGAGUAAUAUAUAGAUAAUGUGCCUCGCAGACCGGGAUAGCCAUUGGAAACGAUGAUUAAUACUGGAUACUCCUUUUACUCAUAAGAGCAAUCGGGAAACGGAUUCUGCUGCGAGAUCGGUCUAUAUCCCAUCAGUUAGUUGGUAAGGUAACGGCUUACCAAGGCGAUGACGGGUAGCGGGUUUGAGAGGAUGAUCCGCCACACUGGUACUGAGACACGGACCAGACUCCUACGGGAGGCAGCAGUGAGGAAUAUUGCACAAUGGGGGCAACCCUGAUGCAGCAACGCCGCGUGGAGGAUGACGCAUUUCGGUGUGUAAACUCCUUUUAUAUGUCAAGAAAAUGACGGUAGCAUAUGAAUAAGCACCGGCUAACUCCGUGCCAGCAGCCGCGGUAAUACGGAGGGUGCAAGCGUUAUUCGGAAUCACUGGGCGUAAAGGACGCGUAGGCGGGUUGGUAAGUCAGAUGUGAAAUCCUACAGCUUAACUGUAGAACUGCAUUUGAAACUACUAACCUAGAGUAUGGGAGGGGCAGAUGGAAUUAG